UGAGGAAUAUUGGUCAAUGGACGAGAGUCUGAACCAGCCAAGUAGCGUGCAGGAUGACGGCCCUAUGGGUUGUAAACUGCUUUUGUUUGGGAAUAAUCGACAUUACGUGUAAUGUUUUGCAUGUACUAUUCGAAUAAGGACCGGCUAAUUCCGUGCCAGCAGCCGCGGUAAUACGGAAGGUCCAGGCGUUAUCCGGAUGUAUUGGGUUUAAAGGGAGUGUAGGCGGUUGGUUAAGCGUGUUGUGAAAUGUAGAUGCUCAACAUCUGACUUGCAGCGCGAACUGGCUGACUUGAGUACACACAACGUAGGCGGAAUUCAUGGUGUAGCGGUGAAAUACUUAGAUAUCAUGAAGAACUCCGAUUGCGAAGGCAGCUUACGGGAGUGUUACUGACGCUUAAGCUCGAAGGUGCGGGUAUCGAACAGG
rnacentral:rRNA from 1 species